AUGGAGAGUUGCGGUUAGUGAGAGUUUGGAGACAGUUUGGAGGUUUAGGAGAGUGAGGAGAGAAAGUCAGGAGAGAAUGGAGCCAGCUAAGAAGAGGAGGAUGUCCUCCCCUGUGUGGGAACAUUUUGAUCUUAUUCCUCCCAACAAGGUGAAGUGUUUGCUAUGUGCCAGGGAGCUGGGAUAUAACAACAACACCUCAUCCAUGCUUAGGCACUACAGAGCUUUGCAUGAGAAUAAGGGGGACACCGAUUGUGGAGCAAGACCAGGAGAACAAUCUCCAAUAGAUGAAGACCUGGUUAGCAUGGUGAUUGAGGACUCCCAGCCAUUUAGCAUUGUGGAGGACAAAGGAUUUAAAAGAUUUGUUAAAUCAUUAAAUCCUAGCUAUGUUCUCCCCACUAAAGGUUAUAAAAGCAGUGAAAAUUUAGCUUUUACUGAAUAAAAUGUGAACAGG
ensembl:lncRNA